rnacentral:piRNA from 1 species
UUAAGUAUGGAAAGUAACUGACUGUCUGUA